CGUUUUUUUUUAAAUCUGAAUAUAUUAAAAAAGACUUAAAAUUAUACAUAUUUGUAUAUAAUAAGAAACAGUGGCAUAUUUACAGGUAAAAUGGGCAAUAACCUCGGACGGUAAAUUUUCAAAAAAACAGUUAAAUCAAAAUUAUUGUUGGUGUCAAUUUGUAAAGGACCGAGAAAGCAUGGAUGAGAUAAUAUAAAUAAAUAAGUUAUUUUAUCAUAAAUACGUCAAUGUAGACGGGGGCGGAGGAACUCUUUUUCUCCCGAGACUAAAAAUAUUGGUGGAUAGGCCUAUCGGAAAUUCGGGAUUUUCCCUGAGGCCUCCCAUCAAUAUUUCACAAUAUUUCCGUCGCUAUGGCACAAACAGGUUAGGCCAUUGCCUUAAGGCGGAAAUAUAUUCAGUGUAAUCAGGGUGUCAUUUUCGUAAUAGACAAUUUGUUCUAAGAUUCACAACUAAUGAAUUAAACAAUAUCCAACAAAUUAUUGAUUGACAAGCGAAAUUAAAUUUAAAAGAUGAAUCAUCAAGAGAAGAUCAAACUUAUUGACGAUCUUGACUUGGUCAGGAUUAUCAUUUGUGAAAUCUUCUCUAAUAAAAGAGUUGUU